UACAGAGGUGGCAAGCGUUGUUCGGAAUUACUGGGCGUAAAGGGCGCGUAGGCGGCCAUCUAAGUCAGACGUGAAAUCCCCCGGCUUAACCUGGGAACUGCGUCUGAUACUGGAAGGCUUGAGUAUGGGAGAGGGAUGUAGAAUUCCAGGUGUAGCGGUGAAAUGCGUAGAUAUCUGGAGGAAUACCGGUGGCGAAGGCGGCAUCCUGGACCAUUACUGACGCUGAGGCGCGGAAGCUAGGGGAGCAAACGGG
rnacentral:rRNA from 1 species